UCCAAGGUCAACCCCUUGUUUUUAAACCAAAUUUUUAGAAUUUGUAGAUAAACUGUAGAUGUGGUAGCCAGUAAUGAAAAAUUUGAAGUAGGCAACACAAGCAGUUUAAAGAUAAUUAAAUUUAUGUAAUUAUAUAGUAUGUUUAUAAUAAGAUUUAAAGUGUCAUAAAUAGUAUGAACAUUGGCACAUAUAUAUAUAUUUAAAUGAGCUAUAAAUGCGCAUUUUUAGUGCUCUCAAAAUUACAAGAAUGCACUUAAAUCUUAAGUUCGCUAAUUAAAGCUGCCAAUGCCAAUUUGGGCAAAAACCAAUCAAAGAACUACUAUGACCACAAUGACCCUCGAGUGAAUGCCCACAAAAAAAAGGGCGAACAGAGAACAUCUCGGCCAUUGCACAUUGGUUUUUUAUGUGUUUUUUUUGGCAGAAAGUCAAAAAAAUUUUUUAACGGAAUAAAAAAAUUUUUAGUUUCUUUAUAUUUAGGAUAGUCUAAUUAGAUAAAAAAAAGUCGAUUUUUACUUUUUUAUGCAACACUGGCUUAUUGCCCACCUCUCAAAGAGAGCUGAUUGUCGAUAACAUGCGUAAGACAAAAUUGGCGGCAAAUCAUUGUGCAACAUUUGUGGUUAAUAUUUCCUCAGAGAAUUAAAAAGUUUAAGCUGGUGUCAUGGAAAACAGUAGGCCAGUCAACUUAACAAUUGUAGCUGUGUUUCGUGGAAUAUAACUUUUGUAUGGCAAACCACUUCAAAAGAAUUUUAACGGCAAGUUAUUAACUAACAUGUGUAUAAUAUUAUACAACUAGUUUCAUAUGCACCUUUUUGUUCCUUUUUGAAAAAAUUACGUUUUUGUAGAUGAAUACUUGUUUGGGCAUGCAGAGCUGCUUGACAUUUGGAGCAACAAUAGUCGCUCUGAGGAUGCAGUUAGGCAGCAUAUAUUUAAAAAAAUUGGUCAGAAUAAUUUAAAUGAAUGUUGUAUUUCAUUGAUAAAUAAAAAAGUUAGGUCCUUCUUUGAUUACAUAAGGAAACAUUUGCCAGGUUGCAAUAGAUCGCUGGACAGGUUGAAGAAAAAACACUUCAAAUGGUUGGCAUCUAGUAUUAGUAUAAUCGCUGAUUGGAAAACUCCAAACAAAGUUGGUCGUCCAAAACUAGUUUAUGAAAAGGCUAGUGGCCGACUUUAAAGAAAAUUAGCUUCGGACCUUGCGGAUGAAAAUAAUAAUUCUGUACCAUUACUCUUGCAUGCUGCUUCAGUUUCGGCUAAAAAAGGAAAUGAAAAGGACAUGGCAGUUGUAUAUCAUCAUACCAUCAUAUACAUCUUAAUAUGAUUUUAUUUUAUUUGAUUUUCUGUAUAUAAUAUCAUAAUAUAAUAUAAUUAAAAAUAGAUACAAAUUUUUUUUUUUUUUUUGGUAAUGUAAAUAUUUUUAUGGCAUAUCGGCCAGAUCGUUUAUAUGGCAGCUAUAUGAAAGUUGACCAAAUCACUUGAAACUUUGUGAAUCAUCUUGGGGGAAGUAAAGAGUAACACAAACCAAAUUUGGUGAAGAUAGGUCAUCAUUUCGAAUUUCUGCCAAAAAAAACGCA